CCAAUAGCGUAUAUUAAAGUUGUUGCAGUUAAAAAGCUCGUAGUUGAAUUUCGGGAUUGACGUAAUGGUCGUGCCUUAAGGGGGAUGAACUGUUGCUGUUGAUUUCUCACCUUCUGGAGAAACGUGAUGUCCUUAAUUGGGUGUCUUGCGGAUCCAUGACCUUUACCUUGAAAAAAUUAGAGUGUUUAAAGCAGGCAUUUUUGCUCGAAUACAUUAGCAUGGAAUAAUAGAAUAGGACGGCAUGGUUCUAUUUUGUUGGUUUCUAGGAUCACCGUAAUGAUUAAUAGGGAUAGUUGGGGGCAUUAGUAUUCAAUUGUCAGAGGUGAAAUUCUUGGAUUUAUUGAAGACUAACUACUGCGAAAGCAUUUGCCAAGGAUGUUUUCAUUAAUCAAGAACGAAAGUUAGGGGAUCGAAGACGAUCAGAUACCGUCGUAGUCUUAACCAUAAACUAUGCCGACUAGGAAUCAGACGAUGUUAAUUUUUUAAUGACUCGUUUGGCACCUUACG
rnacentral:rRNA from 1 species